CGACACGCCACACAUUUCACGAUCCGAGGAUUGCCGCACUCGACCCGCGAAAUUUGAAGCGUGAUUGAAACGUCGUCGUCAUCUUCUUUUUCUCAAUUGUUUUUGCUAUAUGCUUCGAGGCUAUUCUGGAUCUCCAGAGCGAAAGCUGGUUGUUUCUAAUACGUACCACGCAUUACCUUAGGUUGAGCCGUGGCUUUUAAUUUUUUUUUGGAAGUUCACUGCUUUGGAGACGACGGAAUGUCAAGGAAAUGUAAGGCCGAGUCGCCUCACCGACUGAGCAAAGUUCUCUGCGACGAAAGUCACACUAUCGGCGAAUGCACUCAAGAGCUUCCGAGCCACGCCGAGUCACCUGACCAACUGAAGAAGGUUCUGUGCGACGAAAGUCACACUAUCGGCGAAUGCACUCAAG